rnacentral:rRNA from 1 species
AUUGAACGCUGGCGGAAUGCUUUACACAUGCAAGUCGAACGGCAGCACGGACUUCGGUCUGGUGGCGAGUGGCGAACGGGUGAGUAAUGUAUCGGAACGUGCCCAGUCGUGGGGGAUAACGUAGUGAAAAUUACGCUAAUACCGCAUACGAUCUAUGGAUGAAAGCGGGGGAUCGCAAGACCUCGCGCGAUUGGAGCGGCCGAUAUCAGAUUAGGUAGUUGGUGGGGUAAAGGCCCACCAAGCCAACGAUCUGUAGCUGGUCUGAGAGGACGACCGGCCACAGUGGAACUGAGACACGGUCCAGCCUCCUACGGGAGGCAGCAGUGGGGAAUUUUGGACAAUGGGCGAAAGCCUGAUCCAGCCAUUCCGCGUGCAGGAUGAAGGCCCUCGGGUUGUAAACUGCUUUUGUACAGAACGAAAAGGUUUCUACUAAUACUAGGAGCUCAUGACGGUACUGUAAGAAUAAGCACCGGCUAACUACGUGCCAGCCGCCGCCGUAA